GACGAACGCUGGCGGCGUGCCUAAUACAUGCAAGUCGAGCGAACAGAAGCAGCAGAAUUACUUCGGUAAGGACGCUGUGGAAGUUAGCGGCGGAUGGGUGAGUAACACGUGGGUAACCUACCCUUAAGACUGGGAUACCACUUGGAAACAGGUGCUAAUACCGGAUGGGAGUAUGAGCUGCAUGGCUUAUACUUUAAAGGCGGCGAAAGCUGUCACUAAAGGAUGGACCCGCGGUGCAUUAGCUAGUUGGUAAGGUAACGGCUUACCAAGGCGACGAUGCAUAGCCGAGUUGAGAGACUGAUCGGCCACAUUGGGACUGAGACACGGCCCAAACUCCUACGGGAGGCAGCAGUAGGGAAUCUUCCACAAUGGACGCAAGUCUGAUGGAGCAACGCCGCGUGAGUGAAGAAGGUUUUCGGAUCGUAAAGCUCUGUUGUUGGUGAAGAAGGAUAUAGGUAGUAACUGGCCUAUAUUUGACGGUAAUCAACCAGAAAGUCACGGCUAACUACGUGCCAGCAGCCGCGGUAAUACGUAGGUGGCAAGCGUUGUCCGGAUUUAUUGGGCGUAAAGCGAGCGCAGGCGGAGAAAUAAGUCUGAUGUGAAAGCCCACGGCUCAACCGUGGAACUGCAUCGGAAACUGUUUUUCUUGAGUGCAGAAGAGGAGAGUGGAACUCCAUGUGUAGCGGUGGAAUGCAUAGAUAUAUGGAAGAACACCAGUGGCGAAGGCGGCUCUCUGGUCUGCAACUGACGCUGAGGCUCGAAAGCAUGGGUAGCGAACAGG
rnacentral:rRNA from 1 species